rnacentral:misc_RNA from 1 species
UACGGAGGAUCCAAGCGUUAUCCGGAAUCAUUGGGUUUAAAGGGUCCGUAGGUGGGUUAAUAAGUCAGUGGUGAAAGUCUGCAGCUCAACUGUAGAAUUGCCUUUGAUACUGGUUGUCUUGAGUCAUUAUGAAGUGGUUAGAAUAUGUAGUGUAGCGGUGAAAUGCAUAGAUAUUACAUAGAAUACCAAUUGCGAAGGCAGAUCACUAAUAAUUCACUGACGCUGAGGGACGAAAGCGUAGGUAGCGAACAGG